rnacentral:miRNA from 1 species
AUUGGGAACAUUUUGCAUGUGU